UUGAUCCUGGCUCAGAAUCAACGCUGGCGGCGCGCUUAACACAUGCAAGUCGCACGAGAAAGUUGUGAAAGAGCAAUCUGGAUCAAUGAGUAAAGUGGCUUACGGGUGAGUAACACGUGGAUCAUCUACCUUUUAGUGGGGAAUACCUCUUGGAAACGGGAGACAAUACCGCAUAAGCUCGAAAGAGGAAAGCAGCAAUUCGCUGAAAGAGGAGUCCGCGGCCGAUUAGCUAGUUGGCGGGGUAACGGCUCACCAAGGCGAAGAUCGGUAGCCGGCCUGAGAGGGCUCACGGCCACACUUGCACUGAAACACGGGCCAGACUCCUACGGGAGGCAGCAGUGGGGAAUCUUGCACAAUGGAGGAAACUCUGAUGCAGCGACGCCGCGUGAGCGAUGAAGCUCUUCGGGGUGUAAAGCUCUUUCGACGGGAACGAUAAUGACGGUACCCGAUGAAGAAGCUGCGGCUAACUACGUGCCAGCAGCCGCGGUAAUU
rnacentral:rRNA from 1 species